AUUGAACGCUGGCGGCAGGCCUAACACAUGCAAGUCGAGCGGAUGAAGGGAGCUUGCUCCUGGAUUCAGCGGCGGACGGGUGAGUAAUGCCUAGGAAUCUGCCUGGUAGUGGGGGAUAACGUCCGGAAACGGGCGCUAAUACCGCAUACGUCCUGAGGGAGAAAGUGGGGGAUCUUCGGACCUCACGCUAUCAGAUGAGCCUAGGUCGGAUUAGCUAGUUGGUGGGGUAAAGGCCUACCAAGGCGACGAUCCGUAACUGGUCUGAGAGGAUGAUCAGUCACACUGGAAGUGAGACACGGUCCAGACUCCUACGGGAGGCAGCAGUGGGGAAUAUUAGACAAUGGGCGAAAGCCUGAUCCAGCCAUGCCGCGUGUGUGAAGAAGGUCUUCGGAUUGUAAAGCACUUUAAGUUGGGAGGAAGGGCAGUAAGUUAAUACCUUGCUGUUUUGACGUUACCAACAGAAUAAGCACCGGCUAACUUCGUG
rnacentral:rRNA from 1 species